rnacentral:rRNA from 2 species
AAAGCUUGCUUUUCUGAAUCUAGUGGCGAACGGGUGAGUAACACGUAGGUAACCUGCCCAUGUGCCCGGGAUAACUUCUGGAAACGGAUGCUAAAACCGGAUAGGUAGCAGACAAGCAUUUGACUGCUAUUAAAGUGGCCUUGGCCAUGAACAUGGAUGGACCUGCGGUGCAUUAGCUGGUUGGUGAGGUAACGGCCCACCAAGGCGACGAUCAGUAGCCGGACUGAGAGGGCGGACGGCCACAUUGGGACUGAGACACGGCCCAAACUCC